rnacentral:rRNA from 1 species
GAUGAACGCUGGCGGCGUGCCUAAUACAUGCAAGUCGAGCGAACAGACGAGGAGCUUGCUCCUCUGACGUUAGCGGCGGACGGGUGAGUAACACGUGGAUAACCUACCUAUAAGACUGGGAUAACUUCGGGAAACCGGAGCUAAUACCGGAUAAUAUAUUGAACCGCAUGGUUCAAUAGUGAAAGACGGUGUUGCUGUCACUUAUAGAUGGAUCCGCGCCGCAUUAGCUAGUUGGUAAGGUAACGGCUUACCAAGGCAACGAUGCGUAGCCGACCUGAGAGGGUGAUCGGCCACACUGGAACUGAGACACGGACCAGACUCCUACGGGAGGCAGCAGUAGGGAAUCUUCCGCAAUGGGCGAAAGCUUGACGGAGCAACGCCGCGUGAGUGAUGAAGGUCUUCGGAUCGUAAAACUCUGUUAUUAGGGAAGAACAAAUGUGUAAGUAACUGUGCACGUCUUGACGGUACCUAAUCAGAAAGCCACGGCUAACUACGUG